rnacentral:rRNA from 1 species
AUUGAACGCUGGCGGCAUGCCUUACACAUGCAAGUCGAACGGUAACAGUUCUUCGGAUGCUGACGUGUGGCGAACGCGUGCGUAAUACUUCGGAACGUGCCCGAUCGUGGGGGAUAACGAGCCGAAAGCUUUGCUAAUACCUCAUACGAUCUACGGACGAAAGAGGGGGAUCUUCGGACCUCGCGCGGCCGGAGCGUCCGAUGACAGAUUAGGCAGUUGGUGGGAUAAAAGUUUACCAAGCCGACGAUCUGUAGCUGGUCUGAGAGGAGGAUCAGCCACACUGGGACUGAGAAACGGCCAAGAUUCCUACGGGAGGAAGAAGAGGGGAAUUUUGGACAAUGGGCGAAAGCCUGAUCAAGCAAUGCCGCGUGCAGGAGGAAGGUCUUUGGGUUGUAAACUGCGUUUGUACGGAACGAAAAGCCUGUUUCUAAAAAAGAGGGGUCAUGACGGUACCGUAAGAAUAAGCAACGGCUAACUACGUG